rnacentral:lncRNA from 1 species
ACACCACUUGAUUACGAGGACAACCAAUGCAUAUGGCAUAUAGCGACCUACACUUGAUAAGUUAUCGUCCUUGUUAAUAACUUAUCAUUUGAUCGUGAACAAUUUAAGAACCAUCCGAUAAAUCCUCCUUUAUCAAUUGAUUGUGGUUCUAAGGACUUCAUCAUAAUUUAGGAGUUUAUUUAAGGAAGAUAGUUCUUUUAUGAUGAACCUACCAAAUAACUAUUAUUAUUAGAUAAUUCAUAU